rnacentral:rRNA from 1 species
AGGACGAACGCUGGCGGCGUGCUUAACACAUGCAAGUCGAACGGAAAGGCCCGCUUGCGGGUACUCGAGUGGCGAACGGGUGAGUAACACGUGGGCAACCUGCCCUCAGCUUCGGGAUAACACUUGGAAACAGGUGCUAAUACCGGAUAAUAACCUUUCAUCGCAUGGUGUGGGGUUCAAAGUUUUUCGGCUGGGGAUGGGCCCGCGGCCUAUCAGCUUGUUGGUGGGGUAAUGGCCUACCAAGGCGACGACGGGUAGCCGGCCUGAGAGGGCGACCGGCCACACUGGGACUGAGACACGGCCCAGACUCCUACGGGAGGCAGCAGUGGGAAUAUUGCGCAAUGGGCGCAAGCCUGACGCAGCGACGCCGCGUGAGGGAUGACGGCCUUCGGGUUGUAAACCUCUUUCAGCUCUGACGAAGCGCAAGUGACGGUAGGAGCAGAAGAAGCACCGGCCAACUACGUGCCAGCGAGCCGCGGUAA